rnacentral:misc_RNA from 1 species
ACAAACUUGGUCAUUUAGAGGAAGUAAAAGUCGUAACAAGGUUUCCGUAGGUGAACCUGCGGAAGGAUCAUUAUCGAAUUACUCGAGGGUUGUUGCUGGGGUCCCUAACCGGGAUUCAAAGUGCACGCCCUUGUCUACAUUCUCAAACCCCUGUGCACUUAUUGUAGGCUCGGUGGAAAGGCUGACUUCACGGUCGGCCUGAAAGCCUUGCCUAUGCUUUAACACACGCUUCAGUCUAUGAAUGUCAUUUUGCGGAUAACGCAUUUAAAUACAACUUUCAACAACGGAUCUCUUGGCUCUCGCAUCGAUGAAGAACGCAGC